rnacentral:rRNA from 1 species
UUAGUUUGUGUCCGGCGUCCGGAGCGCGUCCGUCCGGCGUCCACGUUCCUUCCUUAUUAUCAGAACCUGGACGGACGCCCCCUGCCCGACUUUGACGUGAGCUGGUUUGAUGGCGGGCUCACGAAACGUGUUUCCUUCCUUCCAGAGAAGCUUGGGAGAGCAAGGAACCAAAUGAAAUGAAUCAUGGCGAUGGCCCCCUCCCCUCGGCAUCGCUUCUUCUUGCUUGCAAAGCCAAGCCAGGCCAGGGCCGUUGGUGUUCGUUACUUCUUCGUCGCAACUUGAGAAAAGUUUGUCUUGGUUGGACGCGACAGCAAGGAACAUGUAAACUGCAUCGUGUCGACCGGAGCAAUGGCAAUGGUGGGGUUGUUCCAUCGUAUCAGGCGUGAUAUACUCCAGAUCGAUCCGUGUCGCCAUCAUGGAGUUGUCCAACCAAACAUGGACCCAGGACACAAAUCGACUGCUCGACUGCAACAUGUAUGUACAAAUCAGCCGCUGCGGCAGCUCAGAGGAGCAAACCUCUUCCAAUCUACCCACCACCUUGAGCAGCAGCGCACUCUCCGUGUCAUCAUCCAACAGAGAUAAAAAGAGCUCCACCAUUCUGGGUGCACUCACAUGUUCUUUCAUGGUUUUGACAACGUAGUCCACAAACUCUGGCAACUCCGCGUCGAAAAUUUCCGUCAACUUCCUUGAAAUCCAAGGCCUCAUUCUCUCAUGCAAUCCAUGUUUUUUCUCUCCUGCAUUGCUGAUCUGUUCAUAUGAGAGUAGGCCUGGUGCAAACACAAUGCGCACUUUGCCGUUGCUCUUAUGAAACCCAUCUAUUGCCCUGUGCUGACUUUUCGUCUCAUGUUCAACUGUAGAUUCACACUCCAUAGGGGCAUACAUUGUCGAUGCCCCAUCAAUUUGCAGAGAGGACUUUCCAGCUGCAGUCACUUCUCUAUCUUUCCAACAUUGCAAACCCACAGCUAUCCUUUCCCUUAAAUGGUCCUCUUUUUCGCAUUGUCUCCUGAUUUUCCUCUCUAGUGCAAUACUUCUGGAAUCAACAUCGCUAUUCUCAUCAACAACUUCAUCGUCGAGAGGGAAACAACCCGGAUCACCAGCUAAGGCCCCUAAAUGACCGCUCAGUGAUAAAGGAGGACUGGCAGACACCUGAACUGGCAGAAUUGGUGAACCUGGACAUUUACUCUUCAUUCUUUCUUCAACCGUACUGUGUAUCUUUUGCAUUGCAUCCUUAUCAGCUUCAUUGGCCUUCUCUUCUGUAGUACUCUGACCAUAUUUCUCAAGAUAUGUGGCUGCAUUGACAUUAAGCUGAACUGGCGGAAUUGGUGAACCUGGAAGUUUACUCUUCAAUCUCUCUAUAAUCAUACUGCGUAUCUUUUGAAUAGCAUCCUUAUCAGCUUCACUGGCCUUCUCUUCUAAAGUUCUAUCUCCGUGUUUCUGAAGGUAAUCUCUGAAUGUCACUCUUCCAUUAAGGCCACUUAUGCUCCCUCCGUCCGUUUCACAGUCAGUGCGGCAUAAAAUCAACCCCAAAAGAAUAGGCCCCGCAUGGUGGAAGCGUCUCACUCUAGAUCUCACAUGGCAGAAUCCUCUCCACUCACUGCCGCAUGGGCCCACCUGCCCUUCAUCUGCCUCAUGCCACCUCUCCACCGCUCCCCCCAAAUCCCCCAAGCCACCAUGGUUGUAGGCCACCAGUUCUUGGCCAUCAACACUCAGUUUGUUGAGCAACCGCCUUGCACGAAGACUGCUUUCAGCAGACUCAAACUCACAAAAGCCAAAUGCAGUAGGAGUUCCAUCUAUGGGAUUUGUGACUGGCUUCCAACUUUUUACAGGUCCACAGACCUCGAGAAGAGAAAGAAUAAAAUCUUUGUCCACUGUUGACGCAAUUUUGCCUAUGUAUACAUUAAAUUGUGGUAUAUCUGCUGGAGCAACAGGUGGGACAGGUGGUCUGGUCGCAGCCACAGGAUCAGAAACGCCAUGAAUUACCACUGGUCGUUGAUGCGAGAAAACGCCAGGAGGAUACAU